rnacentral:misc_RNA from 1 species
AACCUUAUGGACCUGCGGGCGUAUACCUGCGGAGGGAUCAUUAAUGAAUAAACUUGGUCAAGCUGUUGCCGGUCUCUCGGGAUAUGUGCACGCUUGCCACCAAUUUUAACCACCUGUGCACUUCUUGUAGAUUGGAAACGUUUCUCGAGGCAACUCGGAUUGAGAACUGCUGUGCGAAAGCCGGCUGUUCUUGUGUUUCUCAGUCUAUGUUUCAUAUACUCCGAAUGUAUGUAUAAGAAU